rnacentral:lncRNA from 1 species
CUGGAAAGGAAAUAGAGAUGCUAUUGUUCUAAUAGUUCAUUAUGCGAAUAGAAAAACUGAGACACAAAGAAAAAGUAACUUAGCUAAAGCUUUCAGUUAGUACAAAGUCAAAACUAAAACUAAGCUCCCUGAGUUCUUCACAGUGCUAUUUCUAUCACAUUGUGAAACUGAAGCGUCAUCUUCUCUUCCUGAGAAGACCAGUUUGCUAAUGCAAAGAGGGGACAAGACUUUCACAGCCCAAGGAGACUCUACCCAAACGUAAUGACUACACACGUCUGGAGCAGUGCCAGGAGCCAGCCCCAAACAAGAGCUCAUGUGACCAGUCUUCCUAAGUAGAGCUGAGCCUGCUGAUCCAGGGAGAGGUGGGCGGAACAGCUGGAUAUCUGCCUGGCUGAUUACUACGAAGCCCUGCCGUGCUGAACGUUCCCCAUCCCCAAGGAGAAGAGGAGGCCUAAGAGCAGGCAGCUCUGAAGGAAAGAGCAUUUAAGGACCUCAGCGUGAUGUGAUGUGUGGCAUGAUUUCCUUUCCCCAUCCAACCAGUUAGAUAAAUCACACCUUAUCCCAGGAGGAUGAGGAAGAAGGCACUGAAGGAGUGCAAAAGGAGUUUGCCCACUGUUUUGUCAAGAGAGUUGACAGCAUGGAGUUCAGAAAGCAGAUGCACCUUACAGGCUUCCAAAGGUGAUGAAACAACUGGAUUCAACUACUGUGUAAUCAACUGUGGUCAGACAAUUUUCUGCAUCUGCAAUAAGUCCUAUGAUGACUAUUCUAUGCAAAUCGACAGCUAUCAAAUUUCCCACCCAAAGUGUCUGUCCAGCUUUAUCCAAGCCACUUCUAGUCUCAGGCAAGCAUCUCGGAGCCUCCUUUAUCUUCCUGCUAUGACCCACUUGGUCCUUGACCCCUCAGGGCCCUGGUUUUUCUUUUAGAUCAGGCUUUAUUCCUACCCUAGGGAAGAUGAUCGGGCAAAGACAAUCUCAGUUUAUAGCUCUAUUUCAUUUCCAGCAGAUAUUAUGAUAGUUCUGCUCUGUCUCUAUUGAAUAAUCCUGAGUGAUGGUUUUGGAUUUUAAAAGGUUUUAAAGCUUUCCCAAUCGGUUAUAAGUUGUCAAACUCGAAAAAAAAUAUUGAGCUGAACAUAAAACAGAUGAAUGCUCUUAAAACAGAAGAAAAAGCAAUUACAUAACAUUACGUUUUGUAGAAAAUGAGGGAAGACUCUGUAAUGGAGAGUGGAAAAAAUACCUGUGCUUGCAUCGGGUAGAUACAAGUUCAAAUCCUAACUGUGCUUCUUAUUAGUAAUUUGACUUUGGACACUUCCUGGAGCCUCAGUCUCUUGCAUGCACAAUAAAUGUCAUAGAGCCAUUGCA